AUCGAAUGCGAGGCUGAUAAAUAUCCUAUGAAGAUGUCUAGUGACAUUAGCAGGGAGGAGAAAACCUUUGAUGAUUCAGAGACAACUGGAGGUGCAUUGUGGGACAUUUUCAGAAGGGAAGAUGUACCCAAGUUGAGUGAGUAUCUUUUAAAGCAUGCAAAGGAAUUUAGGCACACUUUCUGUUGUCCGGUUGAUCAGGUUUUUCAUCCAAUCCAUGACCAGAGCUUCUACUUAACUUUGGAGCACAAGAGAAAACUGAAGGAAGAAUUCGGG
rnacentral:misc_RNA from 1 species